UCUUCUGUCUUAUAGCCUAUUUCCCUUUUGUUUACUUCGAUUCUUAUUAAGUGUGAGCUAGUUUCUGUUCUUAAACAUGAGUUUCGUAGCUGAGGUUAAUUGUGAAAAUCUGUUGGGCGAGAAAAGGCCUAAGCUGGUUGUUCUUGUGCUUACUGUGGUGUGCAUUAGAAGUGAAAUAAAGCUUUAGGUUUUCUUAUCCUAAGCAUGACAUUUUAGAAGAGGCAGAGGGUGUGCAAGUGCUUUACUAUAUCCUUCCAUUUAUUCCCAUCAUGUUAUUAAGAUCUGAAAUGGUGGUGCUCUAAACAUGCUUGUGCUUGGUUUCUACAUGAGCAUGAAAUGAGGGUGUUGUGGAGCUACCUGCUGUGCUGUGGUGAUGAAACUGGAAGAGAAACUGAUGUGUUCUUGCUAGCUUAGUCUACUCACUGCCCCUUUCACAAAGUUCACUCUCACUGUUGCUGGAAAAUUCUCAUGGUGUUUAUGAGAGUGUUCAUAGGUGGUGUGGAGGGGAAUUUAUAGGCAGAGUGUGUACUCGUGAGGCCUUAAUUGGAGCUGUUGUAUUCCCUUGUUCUCUUCCUGCAGCAAAUCCUCUUUAUUGUGAUUCUGCAGCAAAACUUUAACUGAAAAUUGGCUCCAUAUGGGUACCUAGUACUUAGCUAUUAACUUCCAUUGUUUGCUUGUGGCUGGUGAGAAAACAGGUGCUGCAUUAGUGUGGAGGAUUUGCAGGAUUGACUUGCCCCUUUUGGGUAAGUCUUUGGUCUUUCAACUAAAGGGAGGUUGUCUCCUUCCUCAUGGUUGGGAGAGGACUUGGGCUGCCAAGCUGCUGUCCGAGACGGGCUUGAUGCCUCGGGCCCAACAGGCUGAUCGGAUAGGGCCGACUUAUUGGGCUUCAAAAGGGCGUGAUGCGGUUCACAAGAUUAGGCCCGUUGUUUAUAGUCUUGUGAUUGUAGUCAUGAUCUGUUUUUUUUUU